rnacentral:rRNA from 1 species
AUACGGAGGGUGCAAGCGUUAUUCGGAAUCACUGGGCGUAAAGGACGCGUAGGCGGGUUGGCAAGUCAGAUGUGAAAUCCUACAGCUUAACUGUAGAACUGCAUUUGAAACUGCUAACCUAGAGUAUGGGAGGGGGAGAUGGAAUUAGUGGUGUAGGGGUAAAAUCCGUAGAUAUCACUAGGAAUACCGAAAGCGAGGCGAUCUCCUGGAACAUAACUGACGCUAAGGCGUGAAAGCGUGGGGAGCAAACAGGAUUAGAAACCCCAGUAGUCC